rnacentral:rRNA from 1 species
CACACGGUAAACGAUGAAUGCUAGGUGUAGGGGGUAUCGACCCCUUCUGUGCCGGAGUAAACACGAUAAGCAUUCCGCCUGGGGAGUACGGUCGCAAGAUUAAAACUCAAAGGAAUUGAC